rnacentral:tRNA from 1 species
GGCCCGUUCGUCUAGUGGCCUAGGACACCACCCUCUCAAGGUGGCGGCACGGGUUCGAAUCCCGUACGGGCUGCGA